rnacentral:rRNA from 1 species
AUUGAACGCUGGCGGCAGGCCUAACACAUGCAAGUCGAGCGGAGCUGCGGACGGGUGAGUAAUUCCUAGGUAUCUGCCUGGCCGUGGGGGAUAACGUCCGGUAACGGGCCCUAAUACCGCACACUUUCUGAUGACCCUAGUUCGUAUUAGCUCGUUGGUGGGGUAAAGGCUUACCAAGGCGACGAUCCGUAACUGGUCUGAGAGGAUGAUCAGUCACACUGGAACUGAGACACGGUCCAGACUCCUACGGGAGGCAGCAGUAGGGAAGAUUGGACAAUGGGCGAAAGCCUGAGCGAGCCAUGCCGCGUGUGUGAAGAAGGUCUUCGGAUUGUAAAGCACUUUAAGUUGGGAAGCGUUACCAAAAGAGUAAGCACCGGCUAACUUCGUGCCAGCAGCCGCGGUAAUAC